GCCAGUGUGGUUUAGUGGUCUGGAUGUUGGACUAAGAUACUGGAGACCAGGGUUCAAAUCUCUGUUUGACC